GGCUGCUGAGAAAAUGUAGAA
rnacentral:miRNA from 1 species